AGAGUUUGAUCCUGGCUCAGGAUGAACGCUGGCGGCGUGCCUAAUACAUGCAAGUCGAACGAGGCCCUUUGUAUUCGUACGAAGGUGUCCUAGUGGCGAACGGGUGAGUAACACGUUGGUGACCUGCCCCGAAGAAAGGGAUAACUCUGGGAAACUAGAGCUAAUACCUUAUGACCUCGAGAGAGUUAGGUUUCUUUUGAGAAAAAGGAGCAAUCCGCUUCGGGAGGGGCCUGCGGUCCAUCAGCUAGUUGGUAGGGUAAUGGCCUACCAAGGCGACGACGGAUAGGGGGCCUGAGAGGGUGGUCCCCCACACUGGAACUGAAACACGGACCAGACAUCUACGGAUGGCAGCAGUAGGGAAUAUUGCCCAAUGGACGAAAGUCUGAGGCAGCAACGCCGCGUGCGCGAUGAAGGCCUUCGGGUUGUAAAGCGCUUUUCUGGAGGAAGAGGAAGGACGGUACUCCAGGAAUAAGUCUCGGCUAACUACGUGCCAGCAGCCGCGGUAAAACGUAGGAGGCGAGCGUUAUCCGGAUUUACUGGGCGUAAA
rnacentral:rRNA from 1 species